rnacentral:rRNA from 1 species
UACGGGAGGCAGCAGUAGGGAAUCUUCGGCAAUGGACGAAAGUCUGACCGAGCAACGCCGCGUGAGUGAAGAAGGUUUUCGGAUCGUAAAACUCUGUUGUUAGAGAAGAACAAGGACGUUAGUAACUGAACGUCCCCUGACGGUAUCUAACCAGAAAGCCACGGCUAACUACGUGCCAGCAGCCGCGGUAAUACGUAGGUGGCAAGCGUUGUCCGGAUUUAUUGGGCGUAAAGCGAGCGCAGGCGGUUUCUUAAGUCUGAUGUGAAAGCCCCCGGCUCAACCGGGGAGGGUCAUUGGAAACUGGGAGACUUGAGUGCAGAAGAGGAGAGUGGAAUUCCAUGUGUAGCGGUGAAAUGCGUAGAUAUAUGGAGGAACACCAGUGGCGAAGGCGGCUCUCUGGUCUGUAACUGACGCUGAGGCUCGAAAGCGUGGGGAGCAAACAGGAUUAGAUACCCUGGUAGUCCACGCCGUAAACGAUGAGUGCUAAGUGUUGGAGGGUUUCCGCCCUUCAGUGCUGCAGCAAACGCAUUAAGCACUCCGCCUGGG